GACAGAGGCCUCGAGCGUUAGGCGGAAUCACUGGGCUUAAAGCGUGUGUAGGCGGAUCGUUAAGUGCCUUGUGAAAUCCCACGGCUUAACUGUGGAACGGCUGGGCAUACUGGCGGUCUUGAGCCAUCUAGGGGCGACUGGAACAAACGGUGGAGCGGUGAAAUGCGUAGAUAUCGUUUGGAACGCCAAUGGUGAAAACAGGUCGCUGGGGAUGAGCUGACGCUGAGACACGGAAAGCCAGGGGAGCAAACGGG
rnacentral:rRNA from 1 species